AAUGUCACUCUACUCAAGAAGCACUCUAAAGAUUCGCUUUUUUGAUAAUUCGCAGAACAUAAAAAGAACCACAUUUAAAAACCGAGGAGAGGGGGGAAGGAUGAAGAGUGUGAAGGAAGAGCGAGUGU
rnacentral:ribozyme from 1 species